rnacentral:rRNA from 1 species
UCUCGGCAAAUUAUCCUCAUAAGUUUGACGAUAUGAAGAACCAUUCAGUUCCUAGGUCUAGUUUAUUGUCUUUCGGGAUGAUAAGCGACUUAGAAAGCUUAGCUUUCUAUUAACUUUAGAAUUGAGUGGUGUCACAGAAUCGGAGGCCCCGACUGUUUACUUAAAACACAGACAUCUGCAACGAUUAAUUUCUUUGUAUAGGUGUUGAAUUUUGCCCGAUGCCAUUAAUAUAAGGUCGAUAAGCGCGUGCGUAUUUAUUGAUUGAAAAUCUGGUCAAUGGCGGUCUUAACUAUGAGGAUCCUAAGGUAGCAAAAUUAAUUGUCCAUUAAAUGUGGUCCUGACUGAAUAAAGUAACGAUGGUCUCGCUGUCUCUACAAGUAUCUCAGUGAAAUUGAAUUGGGCGUGCAGAUGCGCUCUGCCUCUAGGUAGACGGGAAGACCCUAUGCAGCUUCUACUGAG